rnacentral:rRNA from 1 species
AGCUCCAAUAGCGUAUAUUAAAGUUGUUGCAGUUAAAAAGCUCGUAGUUGGAUUUGGGACUGGAGUCGUUCGGUCGGCCGCAAGGUCUGUUACUGAACGGCUCUGUCAUCACAUUCCCAGAGACCUGCCGUGUACUUAACUGUGCGCGGUACGGGAUUUGGGACGUUUACUUUGAAAAAAUUAGAGUGUUCAAAGCAGGCUAACAUAGCCCGAAUACAUGAGCAUGGAAUAAUGGAAUAGGACUACGGUUCUAUUUUGUUGGUUUUCGGAACAUGAAGUAAUGAUUAAGAGGGACAGACGGGGGCAUUCGUAUUGCGGUGGGAGAGGUGAAAUUCUUGGAUCAUCGCAAGACGCCCUACAGCGAAAGCAUUUGCCAAGAAUGUUUCCAUUAAUCAAGAAC